rnacentral:rRNA from 1 species
UACGGAGGGUGCAAGCGUUAUCCGGAUUCACUGGGUUUAAAGGGUGCGUAGGCGGGCCAAUAAGUCAGUGGUGAAAGCUCCCGGCCCAACCGGGAAAUUGCCAUUGAUACUGUUAGCCUUGAGUGCAGUUGAGGUGGGCGGAAUACAGCAUGUAGCGGUGAAAUGCUUAGAUAUGCUGUAGAACACCGAUUGCGAAGGCAGCUCACUAAACUGUAACUGACGCUGAGGCACGAAAGCGUGGGGAUCGAACAGG